GACGAACGCUGGCGGCGUGCUUAACACAUGCAAGUCGAACGGCAAGGCCCUGCUUUUGUGGGGUGCUCGCGUGGCGAACGGGUGAGUAACACGUGAGUAACCUGCCCUUGCCUUUGGGAUAACUUCAGGAAACUGGGGCUAAUACCGGAUAGGAGCUCCUGCUGCAUGGUGGGGGUUGGAAAGUUUCGGCGGUUGGGGAUGGACUCGCGGCUGAUCAGCUUGUUGGUGGGGUAGUGGCUUACCAAGGCUUUGACGGGUAGCCGGCCUGAGAGGGUGACCGGCCACAUUGGGACUGAGAUACGGCCCAGACUCCUACGGGAGGCAGCAGUGGGGAAUAUUGCACAAUGGGCGGAAGCCUGAUGCAGCAACGCCGCGUGCGGGAUGACGGCCUUCGGGUUGUAAACCGCUUUCGCCUGUGACGAAGCGUGAGUGACGGUAAUGGGUAAAGAAGCACCGGCUAACUACGUG
rnacentral:rRNA from 1 species